GCCCCGGUAAACGGCGGCCGUAACUAUAACGGUCCUAAGGUAGCGAAAUUCCUUGUCGGGUAAGUUCCGACCUGCACGAAUGGCGUAAUGAUGGCCAGGCUGUCUCCACCCGAGACUCAGUGAAAUUGAACUCGCUGUGAAGAUGCAGUGUACCCGCGGCAAGACGGAAAGACCCCGUGAACCUUUACUAUAGCUUGACACUGAACAUUGAGCCUUGAUGUGUAGGAUAGGUGGGAGGCUUUGAAGUGUGGACGCCAGUCUGCAUGGAGCCGACCUUGAAAUACCACCCUUUAAUGUUUGAUGUUCUAACGUUGGCCCCUAAUCGGGGUUGCGGACAGUGUCUGGUGGGUAGUUUGACUGGGGCGGUCUCCUCCUAAAGAGUAACGGAGGAGCACGAAGGUUGGCUAAUCCUGGUCGGACAUCAGGAGGUUAGUGCAAUGGCAUAAGCCAGCUUGACUGCGAGCGUGACGGCGCGAGCAGGUGCGAAAGCAGGUCAUAGUGAUCCGGUGGUUCUGAAUGGAAGGGCCAUCGCUCAACGGAUAAAAGGUACUCCGGGGAUAACAGGCUGAUACCGCCCAAGAGUUCAUAUCGACGGCGGUGUUUGGCACCUCGAUGUCGGCUCAUCACAUCCUGGGGCUGAAGUAGGUCCCAAGGGUAUGGCUGUUCGCCAUUUAAAGUGGUACGCGAGCUGGGUUUAGAACGUCGUGAGACAGUUCGGUCCCUAUCUGCCGUGGGCGCUGGAGAACUGAGGGGGGCUGCUCCUAGUACGAGAGGACCGGAGUGGACGCAUCACUGGUGUUCGGGUUGUCAUGCCAAUGGCACUGCCCGGUAGCUAAAUGCGGAAGAGAUAAGUGCUGAAAGCAUCUAAGCACGAAACUUGCCCCGAGAUGAGUUCUCCCUGAGACUUAGAGUCUCCUGAAGGAACGUUGAAGACGACGACGUUGAUAGGCCGGGUGUGUAAGCGCAGCGAUGCGUUGAGCUAACCGGUACUAAUGAACCGUGAGGCUUAACCUUACAACGCCGAAG
rnacentral:rRNA from 1 species